rnacentral:rRNA from 1 species
UACGAAGGGUGCAAGCGUUAAUCGGAAUUACUGGGCGUAAAGCGUGCGUAGGUGGUCUUUUAAGUCCGUUGUGAAAGCCCUGGGCUCAACCUGGGAAUGGCAAUGGAUACUGGAAGGCUGGAGUACGGUAGAGGAGGGUGGAAUUCCCGGUGUAGCGGUGAAAUGCGUAGAGAUCGGGAGGAACAUCAGUGGCGAAGGCGGCCCUCUGGACCAGUACUGACGCUGAGGCACGAAAGCGUGGGGAGCAAACAGG